rnacentral:rRNA from 1 species
UACAGAGGUCCCAAGCGUUGUUCGGAUUCAUUGGGCGUAAAGGGUGCGUAGGCGGUGGGGUAAGUUGGAUGUGAAAUCUUGGGGCUUAACCUCAAAAUUGCAUUCAAUACUGCUCCGCUCGAGUUCUGUAGAGGAGAUUGGAAUUUACGGUGUAGCAGUGAAAUGCGCAGAUAUCGGGAGGAACACCAAUGGCGAAGGCAGCUCGCUGGGACGGUACUGACGCUGAGACGCGAAAGCGUGGGGAGCAAACAGG